UACGUAGGGCGCAAGCGUUGUCCGGAAUCAUUGGGCGUAAAGAGCUCGUAGGCGGCCUGUUGCGUCCGCUGUGAAAUCCCGGGGCUUAACCCCGGGCGUGCAGUGGAUACGGGCUGGCUGGAGGCAGGCAGGGGAGAACGGAAUUCCCGGUGUAGCGGUGAAAUGCGCAGAUAUCGGGAGGAACACCGGUGGCGAAGGCGGUUCUCUGGGCCGUGUACUGACGCUGAGGAGCGAAAGCGUGGGGAGCGAACAGG
rnacentral:rRNA from 1 species